rnacentral:lncRNA from 1 species
UGACUGCCGAGCUGGGAAGAACUCCAGUCCUUUCCUAGGCUAGGGAUUUUAACAACGGAACAAAAUCCCAGUGCUCUUCAAGGUGACAAGGGGAACCACUAAGGUUUCACAAGGCACAGUUUGUGAACAACUGAUUGGAGCCAGCCUCAUCAGGCUAGAUGUACCUAUAGCAACCAGCAUGGAUCUCAAAAACAUAGUACCAAACGAAAUAAGACAGACUGAGGUAAUAGAAGAUUACUAUCUUCUUUACCUGAACUAUGGUGGCCAGAACACGGCAAUACAUAUUCUGCAAGAAGACAUCUACACAAAAGAUACACACUCAACAGAAAGGGUGCCGUGGUGGGGAGAAGGGGGUGAGGCAGAGACAUUAAAGGGAGUGAGUUAUUAAAAUGUAUUUAAUCAAUGAAA